UGGGGAAUAUUGCACAAUGGGCGCAAGCCUGAUGCAGCCAUGCCGCGUGUAUGCAGAAGGCCUUCGGGUUGUAAAGUACUUUCAGCGGGGAGGAAGGGAGUAAAGUUAAUACCUUUGCUCAUUGACGUUACCCGCAGAAGAAGCACCGGCUAACUCCGUGCCAGCAGCCGCGGUAAUACGGAGGGUGCAAGCGUUAAUCGGAAUUACUGGGCGUAAAGCGCACGCAGGCGGUUUGUUAAGUCAGAUGUGAAAUCCCCGGGCUCAACCUGGGAGCUGCAGCUGAUACUGGCAAGCGUGAGUCUCGUAGAGGGGGGUAGAAUUCCAGGUGUAGCGGUGAGAUGCGUAGAGAUCUGGGGGAAUACCGGUGGCGAAGGCGGCCCCCUGGACGAAGACUGACGCUCAGGUGCGAAAGCGGGGGGAGCAAACAGG
rnacentral:rRNA from 1 species